CGCCUGUUUAUCAAAAACAUCUCUUCUCGUUAGUUUUUGAAGUAUGGCCUGCCCACUGACCUUGAAUGUUGAAGGGCCGCGGUAUUUUGACCGUGCAAAGGUAGCAUAGUCAUUAGUUCUUUAAUUGUGAUCUGGUAUGAAUGGCUUGACGAGGCAUAAGCUGUCUUAAUUUUGAAUUGUUUAUUGAAUUUGGUCUUUGAGUUAAAAUUCUUAGAUGUUUUUGUGGGACGAGAAGACCCUAUAGAGUUUAACAUUUAUUAUGGUCUCUUUCUGUUUGUGAGGGUUCACUAGGGCUGUUUAAUAUGUUUUGUUGGGGUGAUGGGAGGGAUAUUAUUUAACCCCUCCUUUGUGUUGUUAUAUUUAUUUAUAUUUGUUUGAUCCAUUUAUUUUGAUUGUAAGAUUAAAUUACCUUAGGGAUAACAGCGUAA
rnacentral:rRNA from 1 species